AUAUAUAUAUAUAUAUAUAUAUAUAUAUAUAUAUAUAUAGAGGUAGAUAUACCGCCUCAGGCUUGAGACGGACAUCUGUCCCCGUUAUCGCCAUAACAACUCAUAGAAAAAGACUUUUGGAUGUCCAUGCGAAUGAAAUGCCAAAACUAAGAAUCAUGGAAAACAUUUU